GGUGACAAAGGCCAGGGAAAACAUUUUCUUUCUCUUCCUGUUGUCUGAUACACCACUGGUAUUUCUUUCUUAACUGUUACAGGUGUCCUCAGGCCUGAGCCUUCAGAUGGUGAUUAUGUCUACAAUUCACUGGUCGGUGCUAGGAGGGGAGCAUGAUUCUUGGUUCCUCAAGAAGAUUCUAGAAGGCCCUGCCCAGUGGCUGGUUCUUAGCCUUUUCCAUGGUAGGCACUCCUUCACAGAAGCUGGCAGGUAGGAAAAAGGGUUUAAAAUGCGAUCUCACAAUUCUCCAGAAGUCCUCUCUGCUUUUGCCUCCCCCCGUCCCCCGAAGAGAUGCUACUGGAGGCAGGAGAAAUCCAUUGAGCUCUUCAUCUACAGGAAGAGUGGCGCCCCAGCAACCCUGCAUGUCUCCACACAGGGCUUGUGAGCACGGCUUCAACGGCAGCAUCUCUGAGUCUUGGCAGAGUGCCCUGUGAUCCUCCCCGAAUUCGAGUGGUUAUUCUAAGGCCGUUCCCCACUUGCCUUCCUAGCUCCCCAGGAGAUGGUCAGGGGACAACUGAUGGACAGUUUCUCAUCACCUCCCAUGUUCUGAUGAGGUUUAAAGCUUUCGGCCUCGCUCCCCUCAGGGUACAUUUGCAGGCUAUAAAACCGCCUAGAGGCAGCAUAGAAUUGACUCCUCAGCAACGGGGUGCCCCAUCUUCCCUAUUGCAGUCAUCUGGUCUGUUUUGUUUCAGUGACUUCCUGUGGGGUGGAGGACACGCAGAAUGGACAUUUUGGUGACGCUAGUUUUCACUGUCUCUAUGAGCAACACGCGGCCUAAAUCCAGCCGCCUUGCCUUGACUCCCUGCGUCACCCAAAGUGACCCUCGUCAUCUACUAUCCAGUGACUAAACGCCCCUGGGCACCAGCAGCGGUUGAUGGCCUCUCCUCGAAGCGUUCUUAACCAGAGAAUGGACAGAAUGCAGGGGGUGCUGGGAACAUGGAUAGGAACCAAUGACAUUUUCAAUUUUCCCAACUUCCACCUGAGAUUUAGCAUUUCUUUCAACAACACAAUGUGGACAACAGGCCAUAGCAGUAUAUGUAGUAUCAGUGACUUGUCACCGGUUAGAAAGCACAGAUAUUUUCAUAUCCUAUUACUCGAUUGCAGAAACCUUAAAAUACUCUGUUCCUCAUUACUUUGAAAUUAUGUUAAAUAUUGAGCCCACCCCCUAGAUCUUAUUAAUACAUUUGUAAAGUGGUUUACAUCUUAUUAUACUAUGACUUUGCUUUAAGAAUAUUUUGAUAAUUUAUUUCCAUCUUACUGGCUUUCUUUGUCAUCUCAUGUAUUAAAUUUUAUCCAAAUAUUCUCUCUAGUGUCUAGUAACCAUGGCUAUUGGUAACAUACUGGUUACUGCUUGGCUGUGUGUCAUUGGCUAAAUAACUUCUUGGGCUCUCUGUUUCCUUGUCCUUAGGAUAAAGGGAUCAGCUGUUCAUCUCUGAGCAUUCCACCAGCCACACUGGUGAUUGGAUAAUAUGAAUCUUGUCACUUCCAUUAUACCACAGCUGAUGAAUUACAGGACAAUUGGAAUUGGGGUUUUGUAUUAGCUUCUUAUUUUACAUUUAUUUAGCCAUUUUACUUUCAUAGUAUUGUAGAGAACUUCCAGGAAUCUGUCUAGUAAAUGUGUGAACAUUUAUCUAUAAAUAUGUCUCCAGUGUAAAACUAGAAACAACCUAAACAUUAAACAGUAGAAGAUUAAGCAGAUUAAAAUAAAUUCAUAGGAGGGAACAAGAUGGUCAAUAGAAUGAUACAGAAAAGUAUCACAGAAGAGUGGUCAUGCAAUGCAGUGAGAUCCACAAGCAAAAGCCAUUUAUGAUACUUGAAGACCAAUAUGAUUCUAUAUUUAUAAAAAUAAAUGGAAAUAAAUGCAU